rnacentral:rRNA from 1 species
GUGUCAGCAGCCGCGGUAAUACGGGGGGAGCAAGCGUUGUUCGGAUUUACUGGGCGUAAAGGGCGCGUAGGCGGCGUGACAAGUCACUUGUGAAAUCUCCGGGCUUAACUCGGAACGGUCAAGUGAUACUGUUGUGCUAGAGUGCAGAAGGGGCAACUGGAAUUCUCGGUGUAGCGGUGAAAUGCGUAGAUAUCGAGAGGAAUACCUGUGGCGAAGGCGGGUUGCUGGGCUGACACUGACGCUGAGGCGCGAAAGCUAGGGGAGCGAACGGGAUUAGAAACCCUCGUAGUCC